rnacentral:rRNA from 1 species
GUUGUAUGGUUAAGUGACUAAGCGUACACGGUGGAUGCCUUGGCAGUUGGAGGCGAUGAAGGACGUACUAACUUGCGAUAAGCCUAGUCAAGCCAGUAAGAGGCGCUUGAGACUAGGAUUUCCGAAUGGGGAAACCCACCUGCUUUGCAGGUAUCGUUAACUGAAUACAUAGGUUAACGAGGCGAACGCGGAGAACUGAAACAUCUAAGUACCCGUAGGAAAAGAAAUCAACCGAGAUUCCGAAAGUAGCGGCGAGCGAAAUCGGAGCAGCCCUUAAGCUUUAAUGUAGUUAGUGGAAUAUGCUGGAAAGCAUGACGAAACAGGGUGAUAGUCCCGUACACGACAACUUAUUUAAAGUGAAAUCGAGUAGGUCGGAGCACGUGAAACUUUGACUGAAUAUGGGGGACCAUCCUCCAAGGCUAAAUACUCCCAACUGACCGAUAGUGAACCAGUACCGUGAGGGAAAGGCGAAAAGAACCCCUGUGAGGGGAGUGAAAUAGAACCUGAAACCGUGUACGUACAAGCAGUAGGAGCCUACUUUUUGGGUGACUGCGUACCUUUUGUAUAAUGGGUCAGCGACUUAUAUUCUGUAGCGAGGUUAACCAUUUAGGGGAGCCGUAGCGAAAGCGAGUCUUAACUGGGCGCUUAAGUUGCAGGGUAUAGACCCGAAACCCGGUGAUCUAGCCAUGGGCAGGUUGAAGGUUGAGUAACAUCAACUGGAGGACCGAACCCACUAACGUUGAAAAGUUAGGGGAUGACCUGUGGCUAGGAGUGAAAGGCUAAUCAAACCGGGAGAUAGCUGGUUCUCCCCGAAAUCUAUUUAGGUAGAGCCUCGGACGAAUACUUACGGGGGUAGAGCACUGUUAAGGCUAGGGGUCAUCCCGACUUACCAACCCUUUGCAAACUCCGAAUACCGUAAAGUAAUAUCCGGGAGACACACGGCGGGUGCUAACGUCCGUCGUGGAGAGGGAAACAACCCAGACCGUCAGCUAAGGUCCCAAAGUGUAUGUUAAGUGGGAAACGAUGUGGGAAGGCUAAAACAGCUAGGAGGUUGGCUUAGAAGCAGCCACCCUUUAAAGAAAGCGUAAUAGCUCACUAGUCGAGUCGGCCUGCGCGGAAGAUGUAACGGGGCUAAACAUACCACCGAAGCUACGGCUGCAGACUUUGUCUGCGGGGUAGGGGAGCGUUCUGUAAGUGGCUGAAGGUGUGCCGGGAGGCAUGCUGGACAUAUCAGAAGUGCGAAUGCUGACAUGAGUAACGACAAGAGGAGUGAAAAACUCCUCCGCCGGAAGACCAAGGGUUCCUAUCCCAUGUUAAUCAGGGUAGGGUGAGUCGACCCCUAAGGCGAGGCUGAAGAGCGUAGUCGAUGGGAAACGGGUUAAUAUUCCCGUACUCGGUAUGAAUGCGAUGGGGGACGGAGCAGGCUAGGCAAGCAUGGCGUUGGUUGUCCAUGUGAAAGGCUGUAGGCUGGUGACUUAGGAAAAUCCGGGUUGCCAAGGCUGAGAGUCGAGACGAGCCACUAAGGUGGUGAAGUUGUUGAUGCCCUACUUCCAGGAAAAGCCUCUAAGCUUCAGUUCAUACUGAAUCGUACCCUAAACCGACACAGGUGGUCAGGUAGAGAAUACUAAGGCGCUUGAGAGAACUCGGGUGAAGGAACUAGGCAAAAUUGUACCGUAACUUCGGGAGAAGGUACGCUCUUGUUUGUGAAAGACUUGCUCUGUAAGCAAACGAGAGCCGCAGUGACCAGGUGGCUGGGACUGUUUAUUAAAAACACAGCACUGUGCAAAAUCGUAAGAUGACGUAUACGGUGUGACACCUGCCCGGUGCCGGAAGGUUAAUUGAUGGGGUUAGCUUAGGCGAAGCUCUUGAUCGAAGCCCCGGUAAACGGCGGCCGUAACUAUAACGGUCCUAAGGUAGCGAAAUUCCUUGUCGGGUAAGUUCCGACCUGCACGAAUGGUGUAACCAUGGCCACGCUGUCUCCACCCGAGACUCAGUGAAAUUGAAAUCGCAGUGAAGAUGCUGUGUACCCGCGGCUAGACGGAAAGACCCCGUGAACCUUUACUACAGCUUGGCACUGAACAUUGACCCUACAUGUGUAGGAUAGGUGGGAGGCUUUGAAGCGCGCACGCUAGUGCACGUGGAGCCGACCUUGAAAUACCACCCUUGUAGUGUUGAUGUUCUAACUUAGGCCCCUGAAUCGGGGUUGAGGACAGUGCCUGGUGGGUAGUUUGACUGGGGCGGUCUCCUCCCAAAGAGUAACGGAGGAGCACGAAGGUUUGCUAAGUACGGUCGGACAUCGUACGGUUAGUGUAAUGGUAGAAGCAAGCUUAACUGCGAGACAGACACGUCGAGCAGGUACGAAAGUAGGUCAUAGUGAUCCGGUGGUUCUGAAUGGAAGGGCCAUCGCUCAACGGAUAAAAGGUACUCCGGGGAUAACAGGCUGAUACCGCCCAAGAGUUCAUAUCGACGGCGGUGUUUGGCACCUCGAUGUCGGCUCAUCACAUCCUGGGGCUGAAGUCGGUCCCAAGGGUAUGGCUGUUCGCCAUUUAAAGUGGUACGCGAGCUGGGUUUAGAACGUCGUGAGACAGUUCGGUCCCUAUCUGCCGUGGGCGUUUGAGAAUUGAGAGGGGCUGCUCCUAGUACGAGAGGACCGGAGUGGACGAACCGCUGGUGUUCGGGUUGUGAUGCCAAUUGCAUUGCCCGGUAGCUACGUUCGGAAUCGAUAACCGCUGAAAGCAUCUAAGCGGGAAGCGAGCCUCGAGAUGAGUUCUCACUUUGACUUAGAGUCAACUGAAGGGCCGUUGAAGACUACAACGUUGAUAGGCGAGAUGUGGAAGUGCUGUGAGGCAUUAAGCUAACUCGUACUAAUUACCCGUGAGGCUUAACCAUACAACGCCAAAGUGGUUU